AGUGAACGCUGGCGGUAGGCCUAACACAUGCAAGUCGAACGGCAGCACAGUAAGAGCUUGCUCUUACGGGUGGCGAGUGGCGGACGGGUGAGGAAUACAUCGGAAUCUACUUUUUCGUGGGGGAUAACGUAGGGAAACUUACGCUAAUACCGCAUACGACCUACGGGUGAAAGCAGGGGAUCUUCGGACCUUGCGCGAUUGAAUGAGCCGAUGUCGGAUUAGCUAGUUGGCGGGGUAAAGGCCCACCAAGGCGACGAUCCGUAGCUGGUCUGAGAGGCUGAUCAGCCGCACUGGAACUGAGACACGGUCCAGACUCCUACGGGAGGCAGCAGUGGGGAAUAUUGGACAAUGGGCGGAAGCCUGAUCCAGCCAGACCGCGUGGGUGAAGAAGGCCUUCGGGUUGUAAAGCCCUUUUGUUGGGAAAGAAAAGCAGCAGGUUAAUACCCCGCUGUUCUGACGGUACCCAAAGAAUAAGCACCGGCUAACUUCGUG
rnacentral:rRNA from 1 species